rnacentral:pre_miRNA from 1 species
UGUGUACUCCCUCCGUCCAACAAAAGAUGUCUCAAGUUUGUCAAAAUUUGAAUGUAUCUAGACAUGACUUAGUGUAUAGAUGCAUUCAAAUUUAGUGAAAGUUGAGACAUCCUUUGUUGGACGGAGGGAGUAGAAU